rnacentral:lncRNA from 1 species
GUACUGCUGCCUACUUUUUAGUCAGUAUUGUUAAAGAUUUCGUAGUUGACGAACUAUAUAUUGUAUCUACGUUAUUUAUUUACUGUGAAGUGUUUCAAGGACCAAUGUGAUUGAAAUGCGUAAUAAAACUUGAAGACUGAUCCUGACUUUAUUAUGGAAAGAUCUGAAAGCAGAACAGCUUACGGUCAGAUCCGGAGAAACACCACACGGUAUACCUACACUCAAAUCUAGGGCAACUAGGUAGUUGCAAAAUAUUCAAUCACAAUUCCUUUAGGGUAUUAAAACCGACUGUUAAGCCUUUAAAGAUUGAAUUUGAAAGUUAGUUUGGGGUUUCUUGGCAUCUGUGAUCGCUCUGUACUUGCCAAUUUAUUGGAAAUUUCCGGAGUUUGCAGGAGUAAAGAUUCCCUAAGACUGAGUAGUACUUUAAAUUUGCCAGAAGUCGCACCAAUUACCAGAUUUAAUGGAUUUAAUACUGAGCAAUGUCCCCUGGAGUUUGAGACCUGAGAAAUUUUAAACCUGAGACUGAGCUGAAUGUUUGGGGUUUCUCGGCUCUGUUCUUGCCAAUUUAUUGGAAAUUUCCCAAGCUUGCAGGAGUAAAGAUUCCCUAAGACUGAGUAGUACUUUAAAUUUGCCAGAAGUCGCACCAAUUACCAGAUUUAAUGGAUUUAAUACUGAGCGAUGUGUCUCUACCCCUCAUAUUAACAUUAUGGGUUUUAUUGAUGAUAAUUUUGAGGAUAACAGGGGUACAGGAUUGGAAUCUAGAAUCCGGACCAGAUCCAGAGGGGGUUCUAAUUCCAUUGAUAUGAAGCUGAGAGAAGAUUUUACCUGACUUAAAAAUGAGAAAAUUAAGUGGGGGGAAUUUGCAUGCAAUUCAGCAUUAACUGUGGAUACUAUUGAAAGUCAAAAUAAUAUCUUUUAUGCGGAAAUUGAGCAGAAAAUCUCAGAAGUUUUAUUAACCAGGGGGGAUUUUUCUUUGGUUGGGGAGAUGGCUAGCUUGAAGGAUCAAUUGAGUAUUAUCUGGAGAAGAGCGAAGUAAAUAUCCAAGGAGCAACAAGAAGAAUCCUGUAACCCUGAUAGAUCAAGACUGGCCCAGAUGAACGUCAUCCAGGCGUAGAGAUGAUGAAUGAAGAACAAGAUUACGUGUUUCAUUAUGAACCAGACCAUCAAGAAUCUUCUCACCAGAAUGCAUCAGCACCCAUUCACAAGGGGAGAUAUGGAUUAAACCUGAACAGGAAGGGCGAUACAGUUAUGUUUGAUUCAGGACCUUCAUUGUUAGGAUCUGGACCUACUAAACAGACCCAUCUUAAGAAAUUUCAUUCUCAUAACACCCCAGGUCGGGUAGGAGCAGCAAUUAGUUCAGGAGCCAAUCCUAGAAACACCACACCUACAAGGAUGAGAGGAUCAGUUAUGGGAGGAACAGGAUCUAUUCUAUUGGAACCUGGUCCCCAUAGACUAAUAUUCCUCGUCCAAAGGAAAUUUCCACCAGAAGAAUUGCAGAUGUGGAUAUCAGUCUUUCUUUAAAUGGGAUGAUAGAUGAUAUGCCCGGAAUGAAUCAAGAUUCUACGGUCGGGAAUGAUUCUGAAUACUGGAUGAAACUGAUGAAAUUCAGGCAGAAUCGAGUAGAUGAGACAUUAGAAAGAUUCCAGAAAUGGAUGGAUACCCUCACAACUACUGUGCAAGGUGCUGAAUCCAUGUACAGAGCACUACAGGGAGAUGUAGAAGAUCUGAUAUUCAACAGUGAUGAGGUGUGGCAGAGAUUGAUGUCUGAUGAGCAAAGACUGAACAAGCUGGAAUCAUCUAUUGAUAAACUGGAUGUUAAGCUGGAUGAGAAGAUGGAAUUAAUGCUAUGGUAGGCGAACCUAGGACACCAGGACGAGAGCAGAGAUCCACUGUAAGUAAUACCUAUGAGCAGGAGAUUGUGAGAAAAGGGAUUGAAGGUGCUGAGAAACAAUUGAGGCAAAUCAUCUCAAAUGAUUUAAUUGAGAGUUCUAAAGAUAUUUCUUUGAUAAAGAGACACAAGAAGGUUGAUGUUCCUGCAAUCCAUGCAGCUGUAGGAAUUAUUCAAAAGUAAUUGCAGAAGUACGUGAAAUUCCCUAGAAUAGAUUAUGAGUCUUGCAAUGAGAAAAAUGAGUUCUUAGAUUCUGAUUCUUUCUUUGUCUUGGUUGGGGAGUGUUUCGCAACCUAUCGGAUGCAAUAAGGACCAGUUUAUCACUCCUGUGCAAGCCCCUUAUUUACCUCUGAAUUUGGUGUUUGUCUCAGGAACAAAGAAGUUUCCAGAAACUCGUAUGUUCUAUUUUGUACAUUAUAACCGGUUUGAGUUGUACUGCAGCAGGCUUUUUAGUCAGUAUUGUUAAAGAUUUCAUAGUUGAUGGACUAUAUAUUGUCUCUACGUUAUUUAUUUGCUGUGAAGUGUUUCAAGGACCAAUGUGUUUGUAUCCAGAAAAGAGUAUGCGCCCCGUGAACUCUCAUUGGUCGGAAUUUAAAGUGAUGAUAUCUAAAGAAGACCGAGAAAAAGAGCUGAAAUCAAAAGUGUUCAGAUUAAGUAAUCGAGAUUAUUGGUAUCCAUUUUUAAAGUUUUUAAACUCGAUCAUAAACUUGACAUUAGUUUAUAACAAUAUUAUUGUUACGAUUUCGUAUCAAUAGUUUCAAAAAAUCAAAUCUCAU